GGAAAGGAAUAGCCUCGGGAAACUGGGAGUAAUGCCUUAUAAGAUACGUUUGUCGCAUGGCAUUUGUAUUAAACGCUCCGGCGCCAUAGGAUGGACCCGCGUCCCAUUAGCUAGUUGGUGAGAUAACAGCUCACCAAGGCCACGAUGGGUAACCGGUCUGAGAGGGCGAACGGUCACACUGGAACUGAGACACGGUCCAGACUCCUACGGGAGGCAGCAGUGGGGAAUAUUGCGCAAUGGGGGCAACCCUGACGCAGCAAUACCGCGUGAGUGAAGAAGGUUUUCGGAUCGUAAAGCUCUGUUAUUGGGGAAGAAAAAAAGACGGUACCCAAGAAGAAAGUUCCGGCUAACUACGUGCCAGCAGCCGCGGUAAUACGUAGGGAACAAGCGUUGUCCGGAUUUACUGGGCGUAAAGGGCACGCAGGCGGUUUUUUAAGUCAGAUGUGAAAGGCCACAGCUCAACUGUGGACAUGCAUUUGAAACUGAAAGACUUGAGUAUUGGAGAGGCAAGUGGAAUUCCUAGUGUAGCGGUGAAAUGCGUAGAUAUUAGGAGGAACACCGGUGGCGAAGGCGGCUUGCUGGAC
rnacentral:rRNA from 1 species